AAUACGUUCCGGGCCUUGUACACACCGCCCGUCACACCACGAAAGUCGGCAACACCCGAAGCCGGUGGCCCAACCCCUUGGGGAGGGAGCCGUCGAAGGUGGGUCGGUGAUUGGGGUG
rnacentral:rRNA from 1 species